UACAGAGGUCUCAAGCGUUGUUCGGAUUCAUUGGGCGUAAAGGGUGCGUAGGCGGCGCGGUAAGUCGGGUGUGAAAUCUCGGAGCUUAACUUCGAAACUGCAUUCGAUACUGCCGUGCUUGAGGACUGGAGAGGAGACUGGAAUUUACGGUGUAGCGGUGAAAUGCGUAGAUAUCGUAAGGAAGACCAGUGGCGAAGGCGGCACUCUGGGCCGGAACUGACGCUGAGGAGCGAAAGCGUGGGGAGCGAACAGG
rnacentral:rRNA from 1 species